rnacentral:lncRNA from 1 species
ACGGGCUGGAUGGAAAACUCUUUCCAGACAGACUCCGGGGCCCUCAACUGGUCUCCGACCUUCCCCUGCAACCUGCGACACCUGCCAUUUUCCCAUCUUAGGCUCCAGAAGCAGAAUCAAGUGGGAUGUCUUGGAAGAAAAACAAACAAAAGGCCCACUAGGUGGAGUGAAAUGGAUCAGGAGCAAUUAUGUUCAAUUUCACCUUUAAGUUUUCUCAAAAGGAGGAGCAUUAAGAAUCAGCCACCUUAGUACAUACUUAAAGACUUUCCAGUUUUAAUCUUCUAGAUUUACUGAAACCUGAUCCUGUCCCCGCUGAUGAAACAUCAGAGGAAUGGGAUCCUGUAGGUGAAGAUCAUCAGCUUAUAAAAUCCUGUUGCCAUCAAUGGGGGUAGCAGGAAAAUGAUGAAGAUUGGUUAAGGGGCCAGUGGACUCAGCAUUGAAAUGAAUCAUGGACUUGAAGCCAAAAGACUCAGUUUGUGUCCCAGCUCUCUCAAGCAAAGCCCCCAAGUCCCAGUUUCCUCAUCUAUAAAAAAUAAUAAAAAUACUUAAUGGACAAAGUUGUGUGGGAAUCAAAUGAGAUAAAGUAUGCGCUGCAUAUGCCCUAAAGUCUUAUUUAAAUAAAGGCAUUCUUUUCAUCUGAGAAAUUGAAGAAAAAGAUGCCCUGAACAAGAAAGACAGGAGAAAAGAUUUUUUUUUUUUUUAAUGAAGGAUAAAAUGAUGAAAUCCCCCCAGGUAUUGCUACAGAAAGGCCUUACCCAUGAGCUGUAGGCAUAUAUCCGGUCCUAAGGUCCAUUUUGGAGUAGCCCAGCACUCAGUCUGAAAGAUUGGACACUGAGAAAUAUGUGCAUCCCAUUUUUCUAACUAGCAGCAUUUUGAUCCUGUCUUAUUAUCCAUACCCAGGCUAGCACACAUGAUUUUUUCUGCUUGCACUUCAGGAGAAGAUAGUCAUUGGACAAAAGGUGGGUCAUUCUCACGUUGACCAAGUUUCUGUUCCAGUAUCACCCUCCCAGUCCACAGGUCGAGAGGAACCAUACUUGAAGAAACAUACCUGAAGGGUUUCAUCCAUAUGUGGGCCUGAUUUGGAUGAUAAAAUCCUGCAUCUUGAGCCUGAUCUUGAUGCUGCCUGUGUUCUGAUGCCAUCAGGAGUUGAGAGUCUAGGGGUUUUAGAAAGGGUGAAUGUAUUUUCCCAUAGGCAAGGAACAUAAUCAAUGGCCAAAAUGUGCACUGUGACAGAUUAAAGGUUGCUACAAAUUCUCUGAUACCCUUCCAUUAAGAGGUAGGGCAGAUAUUCCCUCCCCUCAAAUCUGGGUGGGCUCCAUGACUUGCUUUGAUCAACAGAAAACGGCAGCAGUGAUGCUGGGCCAGUUGUUGGAUCCAGGCCUUAAGAACCAACAACUUCCACUUAAGUUCUCUUGGAACACUGAGUCCCUGACUACCCUAAUAUCAUGUUGGAAAGGCUACAUGUAGGCACUCUAGUUGCCAGUCCCAGCCAAGACCAGCUUUUCAGCCAUCCCCAUCACUAAAUUUGUAAAUGAAGCCAUCUGGAAUCUCCAGACCAGCUCAUUUGGCAGCUGGGUAUCAUCAAGUUAUCUCUGCUGACUCCACAUGGAACAAAGGAAUCACCCAGCUGAGCCCUAUUCAAACUAUUGACCAAAAAAAUAGUGAGACAUAAUAAAAUGAUGUUUUAA